ACGGGGAGCAGCAGGCGCGAAACCUUUACACUGCACGCCRGUGCGAUAAGGGGACCCCGAGUGCGAGGGCAUACAGUCCUCGCUUUUCGUGACCGUAAGGUGGUCACAGAAUAAGAGCUGGGCAAGACCGGUGCCAGCCGCCGCGGUAAUACCGGCAGCUCGAGUGAUAGCCACUUUUAUUGGGCCUAAAGCGUCCGUAGCCGGCCGAACAGGUCCGUCGGGAAAUCCACUCGCUCAACGAGUGGACGUCCGGCGGAAACCAGUCGGCUUGGGGCCGGGAGACCAGAGAGGUACGUCCGGGGUAGGAGUGAAAUCCUGUAAUCCUGGACGGACCGCCGGUAGCGAAAGCGUCUCUGGAGAACGGACCCGACGGUGAGGGACGAAAGCUUGGGUCUCGAACCGGAUUAGAUACCCGGGUAGUCCAAGCCGUAAACGAUGCUCGCUAGGUGUGGCGCAGGCUACGAGCCUGCGCUGUGCCGUAGGGAAGCCGAGAAGCGAGCCGCCUGGGAAGUACGUCCGCAAGGAUGAAACUUAAAGGAAUUGGCGGGGGAGCAC
rnacentral:rRNA from 1 species